GUCGUGGGAUUUCAAGUGCAAUAUGAAACAAUAUUUGGUUGGUAUAUACUUACUCUUGCCUACUCCGUUGGCUCAGCGAUCCAAAAUGAGACUUGGUCUCCGACAAAAGAAAGCGCCACUUUUCUCGGGCCUGUGCGGCCUCUCUAAUAAUUAUUGUUGACUCGAAGUUCGCGCAACCCCCUUCACCAUGUCGCACUAGCAAUACCUGGUAUAUGGUAUGGUAUGGUGCCUGGUAUGGAUGGUGGCAGUGAUUUUAUUUUGUAGGAAGAUAUUCCUAGGAAUAGAGAAGGGGUCGGCAAACUUUUGAGAAGAAGAUCCAACCGCAGUUUACCUAUAAAUCACUAGUUUUCAAGAUAAAAUUAUUAUUAUUAAGCCUGGAACUCAGUUUGAGAUAGUUUUAAUCCCGGGGAAGGCCAUAGGAUAGUAUUUAUCACGAAAAUCAUUCUAUGCAAGCAAAGUCCAGGUCCUGAGAAGGAGCUAUUUGGUAGGUAAAUAAGUAUUAAAUAUAAAAAUGAAGUAAGGAUAACAGAAAAUUCACACACAAUACACAAAAAAUAAGCUACACAAUAAACCGUAACUACUCGUACAUUAUGUACAUAUUAUCACUCUCUACUGCAAUGUAGUUUUUUAAUUUGUCCUUCCAAAUCGCAAUACAUCCGUGUUACUAAGGAGAUUUCACGCCUGGCCAUCAACUCUCAGUAAACUACCGUGUUCGCAAUAUUACUAUUUAUUUUCAUUUUUAAUUUCCUUCACAGCGGGCACGGCUUAACGCGUUAUUAAAGUGCACCAAUGUAAUUAAUAUUUUCAUUGCAAUUUACAGGAAAGAUGCGGUUAGUGUUUUGCCAGCAAAGGCUUUUGCGUUUUCUGCGUAAUGGUAUGGAACCCUUCGUGCGCGAGUCCGACUGGCAAUUAGCCGGUUUUUUUAAUUUCGAUUUUUACGUCGACAGAAUUGAGUCCAAGUUUUGUUUAAUCUAUGUUCUCUGUAGAUGCUUUCUUUCACAAAAGUGAAAAUAAUUUAGGCUCCCCUUGUUUGCUUUCUUUUAUUCGUUUUUGAAUGUCGUCCGUUAUUACAGAUUUCACUUAACAGAUUGGAUGGAAGUGGGAAAGGAAAUGUUUUACAAAUAAAAGAUUGCAUGUCAAUGCGUAAACUGUUUGUUAUUUAUUUGAAAAGUACCAUAAACAAAUCAAAGUAGGGUAAAAAAUGGAAACACAGAUAGUUGACACUGGGUCACUCCAUUUUCUUAUGCCCUUAUAUCGAGUAAUAACUGUGAUAUUUACUUGAUUUACGAUCUUAUAAAACCUAAGUCCCCCGCCGCGUCUGUCUGUUUGUGUGUUUGUAUGAUAAACUCAAAAACUACUUAACGGAUUUUCAUACGGUUUUCAGUUAUCAAUGGAGUGAUUCUUGAGGAAGGUUGAGGUGUAUAAUUUGUUAAGUUUACCCGUGCGAAGCCGGGGCGGGUCGCUAGUGAACUUUAUAGGUAUUUUGAACUAUUAAAUUGAGAUAUUACGUUAAUGUGUUAUUUAUCGAAACUGCUGGCGCCUAUUUUGCGGGACCACAGGUGUAUACCAAGACGAUCGCUUUCAUAUCAAAACCAAAACAAAUGUUUAAAUUAGAACCUAUUUGUUUAUUUUGUUUUGUUUAAUAAUUUCCUAAAUAAUGACAUUUGUGAUGCACUAUUAUAAAUUUCAAUGAUUGUAUUUUUUGUGACAUUUUGUAUUUAUUUACUGUUAUUUUUUCUUCUUUCCUUGAUCGGAUCAUGUGUUUUUAAUUUAGUGUCAGUGUGUAAUGUCAGUUCUCACGUAAACUUGAAAAUAAACCUUGUACUUAUUAGGUAAAUUUACCUGGUUUUCUGCGCCUCAGAUCUCUGCUAAAUAUGUAUAGGUACAGAAUAUACAUACAAUCUUUUGUAGAAUAAAUUAUGACCCCUAAAAAACUUGAUUUCUCUUAAUGUUGGGUAUUGUUCAAUUUUCAAAAAUGUUUAAUGAAUACAAUCACAGUUUGGGUACCUAGCAAUUUGUUUGCUCAUAUGUGACGUUAACUAUGAAAAGGGACCUUAUUGUCGAUGGCGCUUACGCCAUUAUUAACGAUGCUCUGAUAUAAUUACAAUGCCGCGCGACGCUGUGCGGCGCAAGCGCCAUCGACAAUAAGGUCCCUUUUCAUAGAUAAUGCCCCAUAUUUCAAUUGAAUAUUUCGUUUAUAUUUAUAUUUAAGUUUAGUUUUUAAUGAGCUUUAUGUUUAGAUUAUGUGUUAUUUUAGU